rnacentral:tRNA from 1 species
GGCCCUGUGGUGAAAUUCAUGGUGAGUUGCAAGCUCAUUGAUGUGCGUUGAUGCGUGCCAGGGUCU